GGGGACGAUCUGGUUUCGACUGCAACAGUAGUUCUGUAGUUGCAUGCCGAGUGCGCUGUCAUCUCGUAAAUAAUGGCAGAUUAAACAUAAGUGCAAACGAAAACUACGCUUUAGCAGCAUAAAACCUGCUAUGUCUUUCUGCAUAUUGCUCCUCUGGGUAGCAGAAAGGCAUGAGCUACAGAGGAUAGCCUGAUACUUUGCCCCUAAGUUGAAGGCGAAAAUCUAAAGGGAUCGGCUUUUGAAACAGUGCCACAUUCUGGUUCAAAGGCUUAAAUGAAAAAGUGUGGAUAAGCAUGUAGACGCUGCAGGAGUAUUUUGCAGGACGCGGGUUCGACUCCCGCCGUCUCCAC
rnacentral:tmRNA from 1 species